UUCGUAUUUGUCUUUAAAUAUGGUGUAC
rnacentral:sRNA from 1 species